rnacentral:rRNA from 1 species
AUGAACGCUGGCGGCGUGCCUAACCCAUGCAAGUCGAGCGGCAGCGAGGGGUGCUUGCACCCUGUCGGCGAGCGGCGGACGGCUGAGUAACGCGUGGGAACGUGCCCCAAAGUGAGGAAUAACUGCCCGAAAGGGUAGCUAAUACCGCAUAUUAUCUUCGGAUCAAAGGAUUUAUCCGCUUUGGGAGCGGCUCGCGUCGGAUUAGGUAGUUGGUGAGGUAAUGGCUCACCAAGCCGACGAUCCGUAGCUGGUCUGAGAGGAUGACCAGCCAGACUGGAACUGAGACACGGUCCAGACUCCUACGGGAGGCAGCAGUGAGGAAUCUUCCACAAUGGGCGAAAGCCUGAUGGAGCAACGCCGCGUGCAGGACGAAGGCCUUCGGGUUGUAAACUGCUUUUAUAAGUGAGGAAUAUGACGGUAACUUAUGAAUAAGGAUCGGCUAACUACGUG